rnacentral:misc_RNA from 1 species
GAACAUUGCAUCUCUGAAGCAUAUCAAUGCGAUAUUGAGUAUGUUUUGUUGUUUUUUUACGAUUGUUUUAUAUUUGAUAGACCGAAAAUUAAAUUAAAUUGGAAGUGUCAAAGUAGGCAUCUGAUAAUGAGACUUCGAAGAUCUAGUAGUUAAUAGUUUGAGCUUAAUUAAGCUCAUAUGCUGGUGCUACUUGUUGGUUGGCGGAGGU